rnacentral:rRNA from 1 species
ACUCCUACGGGAGGCAGCAGUGGGAAUAUUGCACAAUGGGCGCAAGCCUGAUGCAGCCAUGCCACGUGUGUGAAGAAGGCCAUCGGGCUUGGUUAAGACACUUUCAGUGAGGAAGAAAGCUUGUCGGUUAAUACCCGGCAAGGACGACAUCACUCACAGAAGAAGCACCGGCUAACUCCGUGCCAGCAGCCGCGGUAAUACGGAGGGUGCGAGCGUUAAUCGGAAUUACUGGGCGUAAAGCGUGCGUAGGCGGCUUGGUAAGCCGGUUGUGAAAGCCCGGCUGCAACCUGGGAACGGCAUCCGGAACUGUCAGGCUAGAGUGCAGGAGAGGAAGGUAGAAUUCCCGGUGUAGCGGUGAAAUGCGUAGAGAUCGGGAGGAAUACCAGUGGCGAAGGCGGCCUUCUGGACUGACACUGACGCUGAGGUACGAAAGCGUGGGUAGCAAACAGGAUUAGAUACCCUGGUAGGCUCUG